GAGUGCUUGGGGGGAGGAAAGUCCGGGCUCCACAGGGCAGGGUGCCAGGUAACGCCUGGGGGGCGCGAGCCUACGGAAAGUGCAACAGAAAGUAUACCGCCCCGCUACUCAUGAGUAGCGGGGUAAGGGUGAAAAGGUGCGGUAAGAGCGCACCGCGCGACUGGUAACAGGCGUGGCGAUGGUAAACCCCACUCGGAGCAAGACCAAAUAGGAAUCCAUUAGCUGUGGCCCACAGUGGAUUCGGGUAGGUCGCUACAGGCAGGUGGUGACACCUGUCGCAGAUGAAUGAUCAUCCACGACAGAACCCGGCUUAUCGACCGACUCGUUUA
rnacentral:RNase_P_RNA from 1 species